CCUUACACCAUACAAACGAUUGUGUGUGUGUCUGACCUUUUGGAAACUUCGUUCGCAUCUACUCCAAGCGUCUUCCAUCACCAUAAACUUCAUUCGUAGCUUCAGAUUGUUAUUGCGGUGCAGUUCCACUCUUCCAGUUUCCAUCUUCCACUUCCUCUUCUGCCUAUGUCGUUGAAGUUUUCAUUUCCACAUUAUCCUCAUGAAGAAGCAAGUUGUCUCAUGAUUGAAAUGUCGAUUGAUACUCCAACGAUUAAUCAAAUACAAAGGUUAAAGGCACAUCGAAUGAUUCACUUGAAGGCUUUAUCCUGCUAAAGAAUUAGUCUAAUAAAUAUGUCUUGCAAAUUCUGUCCACUAGGUCUUCGAUAUAAUGUCAAGGUAUCUUCUUCUCUUAGAUGAAUCCACCAAUGCUAAUUCCAUUUUUGCAUGCAAGAUAAAGUGGAUCAAAGAAAAAGAUCAUUUUAUUAUAUAGUUGUAUAGUGUCCUUUUCAGCCUAGUUACACGGAAUGCAGGUAUUAUGUUCUUAAGUUCAUAAGUUCAUGAAAAAGGUUGUUGAUGAAGGACUUGAGGUGUUGAAUAACGAAGUAAUAAAUGCGUUAGUUAAUUGAUUGACUUGAAGUGUUUUAGAAUAUUUACAUAUAUAAUUGCUUAAGAGUUUAUUGCUAAUAUAUUUAUCUCAGUUUUGGGGGAAGAAUGAAUAUACAGAUGUCGAGCUUGCUUGAUAGGGUGCGUGAAAAAUGGGUUACUUAUGUAAUAAACUUUAUUUACAAGUGAUAUGUAUUUGACAUAUACUUUUUGAUGAACUUGGAAUGUAUUUUGAAUUUGACACUA